GAUCCUAGUGCUGUCUAGUGUUUAGCACGAUUUGCAGUGUAGUUUUGUUUCUGUAUUACUCAGUGGUAAUAACAAUAUAAGCUGAUUCUUGUCUCAUGCAAUUUGUAUUGAUCUUUUCCCCGUCUUUGCUUUCCUUCUUCUCCCACUCCUAUAUAGUGUGAAGAUCUUUCUCUUAUACUAUGUGUCUUCUACUGCAGACAUACAGCAGAGGAUUUUCCACUGCCCCCUUGCGGGGGAAUGGGCCCAGCUCCCAGGAUUGAGCAGCAGUCCAAGGAAGGUGGAUGUUGCCUGAGUGGCACCAGCACGUGAAUCUACAACAAUAAGAUCAAACUGAAGUCACAGGCAUACCAAUCUAGACUACGCAACAGACUUGGCAGUUAUAAGUACAGAUUUAUGGCUGGAAGGAUGCAUUCUCCUUGAAGCUGUUUGUGCAACCUACUUAUCAGAAGAAAGAGAUUUCCUGGAGAUUCUCUUUAAUUAGCCGGAACAAGCCAUUAGUAAAACAAGCAACUAAAACCGUAAGUAUAUAAGCUAUUAGUCUUCUAGCAUAGCUUAUUAAAAAAUAAUUCAAUAUAUAUCCUAAAAUUCAAUAAGGGAGUGGCCAGGUUCAGGAAUAACUGCUUCUAAACGUACACAACGUUUUUAAGAGUCUAGGAAGGGAAAAGUUAACAUUCUGCCAGUAAAGAUAAUGAGAGCAAAGACAUGAUCCACGUUCAUGUGGUUUCUGUCCCUCCCUUUUUAAGCUUCUGAGAGGCUCCACUCAAUUCUGUGCCUAUUAGGAGUAAUCAUCACUGCAAAUGAUGUUAUUUGUCAUAUUUGCUAUAGGUCAUCAAUAGAAUGCAAUACCAUUUCCAAAAAGUUUGAAACAUACCUAUUUUACUUUGAC